rnacentral:ncRNA from 1 species
GCAGAGUAGGGAAGCGCGUGUCAAGUGCCGGCGGGACGGGGAGUUGUCCGCUGGACGAAGCCAUGCGCAGUGCGCUUCCCGCAUCCCGCUGC